GUGGGGAAUUUUGGACAAUGGGCGAAAGCCUGAUCCAGCAAUGCCGCGUGCAGGAUGAAGGCCCUCGGGUUGUAAACUGCUUUUGUACGGAACGAAAAGCCUGGGGCUAAUAUCCCCGGGUCAUGACGGUACCGUAAGAAUAAGCACCGGCCAACUACGUGCCAGCAGCCGCGGUAAUACGUAGGGUGCAAGCGUUAAUCGGAAUUACUGGGCGUAAAGCGUGCGCAGGCGGUUUUGUAAGACAGUGGUGAAAUCCCCGGGCUCAACCUGGGAACUGCCAUUGUGACUGCAAGGCUAGAGUGCGGCAGAGGGGGAUGGAAUUCCGCGUGUAGCGGUGAAAUGCGUAGAUAUGCGGAGGAACACCGAUGGCGAAGGCAAUCCCCUGGGCCUGCACUGACGCUCAUGCACGAAAGCGUGGGGAGCAAACAGGAUUAGAAACCCGAGUAGUCC
rnacentral:rRNA from 1 species